UAGGGAAUCUUCGGCAAUGGGCGAAAGCCUGACCGAGCAACGCCGCGUGAAUGAUGAAGGCCUUCGGGUUGUAAAAUUCUGUUAUAAGGGAAGAAUGGCUCUAGUAGGAAAUGGCUAGAGUGUGACGGUACCUUAUGAGAAAGCCACGGCUAACUACGUGCCAGCAGCCGCGGUAAUACGUAGGUGGCGAGCGUUAUCCGGAAUUAUUGGGCGUAAAGAGCGCGCAGGUGGUUGAUUAAGUCUGAUGUGAAAGCCCACGGCUUAACCGUGGAGGGUCAUUGGAAACUGGUCAACUUGAGUGCAGAAGAGGGAAGUGAAAUUCCAUGUGUAGCGGUGAAAUGCGUAGAGAUAUGGAGGAACACCAGUGGCGAAGGCGACUUACUGGGCCGUAACUGACGUUGAGGCGCGAAAGCGUGGGGAGCGAACA
rnacentral:rRNA from 1 species